rnacentral:lncRNA from 1 species
AUCAUAAUGGGCUUACAUAAGGCCCAAUAAACUCGAAAUAUCUUGAAGGGGGCCCCUACCUUAUCCACACACAAAAUCGAACUGAAGAAGAAGACCCCAAAAAUCUAACUUGAAAACGUUAUCCACUUCGAGAGAGUGACACGUCACGAACCAAAUCCAAAUUUCAAAUAAAGCUUUCCAUAAAUCAAAAUCACAUCUUACUUAAUACUUCUCCCAAAUCGAAAUCACUUAAACUUUAUAAACCCUAAAAUCAUGGCGAUGGCACCGGCAAUGCAGACGACGUUCGUAUCAUCAACGAGCUUUCUGAAACAAGCGAGACCUUCUUCUUCUUCUUCCUCGUGGGGACCGAACAAUGUGAUUCUUCCCAAANNNN